CUGCUUCGGAGUUGCAGCCGCGGGAUGGACGUGGAAAGCGGAAAGCCCCCGGACCUCGCCUGGGCGACGGAAAAGUUAGAAGCGGAGAGAGAGAGCGAAUUAGAAUUAACCACACUUCUCAGUACUACUCAGACUAGAGGCUAAUCUACUCCGGAGAAUUAAACAAGAACUGGUUAGCAGCAAAGACCUGGUUGUGAUGCUGAACUCAGUCUAAACUGCCACCCUGUUCAUAGGAAGAAGCAGCCAAGCUACUUCCUUGUGGCUAAGAAACCUUUGGGAUGGAGAGGUUGUGAAUGAUGAUAUGAGCAUGUUAUUAGUGUCAAAAGGGUAAUUUUUCAUUCCAUGUUUUGCCAUUAGGAUAGGAUUAAUGGAAAAAUGGGUGUUUUAAGUCUCAGAAAUGUACAAGACAUGUGUCCCUUGUUUACACGAAUGCCAUGUAAUGUAAUGUUGCUCAAUUUUGGUAACUAUUGUAAUGAUAGUUAUUCUUCUGGGGGAGAAUAAUUGGGUGCCUGACCUUCCUCUCAGGGAUCACCUUUUUGGUUUAUUUUUUGUUUCCUGCUUCCAAGAAACAUAGCAGGUAUUGGAAUAAUACAAUAAUGUCAACAUAAUUGACAGAGCCAAUUUUUUCCUGGAAGAUCUGUGGUGUUUACAUAAAAAAGGGGUGUUAAGUUUCCUAGAGGUUUAUAUUUGUUGGUUUUGUAUUUUUUUUUAAAUUUACAAGGUUGUCAUAAAUUUAUCUCAUCAGAUUGUGUUAUGGUAUAUUAGAGAAUUUAACUUUAAAACUAGACGACUAUUGCCUGUUGGGUUAUCACCUUAGAGGUUAUUUUUUUACCAGAGUCCUCAGUGCUUUCAAUAAUGGCAGAGCUUCUAAUGUACCUGAACAAUUUCUAAAAAUUCAGUGACAUAUUCAAAGAUGGAUUUGCCUUGAAAGUAGUCUGUGUUGAACUGUAUAGCAAGUCGAACAUCAGGAGUUGACCACAGGAAACAUUUUAUGGCAUUUGGUAUUAUGUCAUAAAAUGCUUUAUGAUAACUUUUGUUUCAUAAAAUGUUUUAUAAAAUUUGCCAAAUCUCAGUUCCGCAGGAGACAUGGGUCCCAGAUUUUGGAUGUACUCUAAAUGUUAGCCCAUUUGAUGUAGUUCGGUUGAAAAAAUUCUGCGCUAGGAUGCACCAUUUCACCCAGUUAAGAUUAAGACACGAGAGAUUUAAUAGCAUGUGGAUAAUAGAUAUUUUUUAAAAUAUAAAAACAAUAAUUUAUUUAUAAAUAAAACAAUAUUUUGCAUUGUUUUUGUUGUGUUGAAUCCAGUUUGAUUCUUGUUGAUUACAUGGACAAAUUCAUGCUGUUUUCUUGUCACAGGACAGAAAUGAUUUGCUGCUGUCUUCUGGAAGAUACUUUUUGUUUACUUCCCAGUGUAGGCUUAUAGCUUUGGGAAAACAAAGACAAUCUGUCUC